GAUAUCGAAGAGGCAGUUUCUUAUAAACAAAAAGAUAAGGAACAUCUUACAGAAGCAAUACUUGCCAAGACCCACCUUCACAUCUCAUUACCCUGUCAACAUCAAAGACCAAAACAUGGAGACAAGAACCUUAAAUGUUGAAACAUGCAAUAAGCUAGAGGAGGCUUUUGGAACGGCACGUUGGCCCAAAACCCAGAGACAAGAUGAUAGAGAUGGCCAAACGGUCACUGGACUUGUCAAAGACGUUGCACACUUUCCCCCAUUGGCACGUGUGGGUUCCCCUCGUGGCCGGCGAUAGCCCUGACGGCCGUGGCGGCAUGACUCCUAUUUGCCAUCACCGAGGCCAGCACUCCGCUCUUGCCCGCAUUGUUGAUGAAUAGGAGGAGCGAGGAGAGCACGGUGUAGCCGUUCGCGCUAUUUGGUUUAUUGGAUUUGAAACCAUUACCUUCACCAGGCGCUGCUGUCCAAUAUGUUCAGAUAAAUUGAUAUGUGAUGCUGCGCUUGAUAGGGCAAAUAGGAGAAAUUACAUCUUUAUAACAAUCUCAAAUUUGAUCUUCAUGAAUCGCUUAAUCUUGACAUUCUGAGCAGAUACAAGCAACUCUGAUGGCUGAAGAAUACGGCUACAAGAAGGCGAGAGCUCUUGUCCUUUCCGACCAUCUUGUCCUCGUGUCGCAGAGUAACAUUUUCUGCGCGAAGUGCUGUAUUACAAUCUCGAGUCUAUGUUGCUUUGUCAUUCCUCUGAUUAUAAUCCUAGAGUUAUGGGUAUCUCCUAAAUAAGCCUAUGUUUUGGUCUGUCUUGGAUCUUAUAAGAUUAGUUGUGAUCUUAUCUGCUACAUUUGAGAACAAUGAUGCAGUCGCUUUCGAAAUGUGAGUACAAUUGCUCCGCUGUCUGUCUAUCUGUUACCCGUAUGGAAUGCCUCUAUCGCAUGCUCUGCUAUGUUUACUUCCACAUUAUCAGGCAGAAAUGUAGCCACUGCAAAUCCUACAAUACACGAGCGAUUGGCCCUCCUGUACUUCCUCAAUGACUGGGUUUUUAAGUCGAGCAAUUCUACCGGCCAGGGAGGCAUGACCGAAGCCUUCAUGCUUUGCAUGAAAUGGCAAGGACGCUUAGCUUCGUCCCGGGUCUUGAUACAUCAGUCUGAUCAUUCUACAAUGGUUAUGUACCGUUACGUUCUUCUUGAUUGGAUCUUCUUGAAUUAUACAUUCUUCCUCCAAACUCAUGGAGUCGAAGCCCCGCUAACGAGUCUCUGGGGUUCUGUAAACAGUUCAAAAAGAUACCAACAUUGGGGUUAGUUGAUGGUGGAAUUUCAUCCACAAGCAACUCCAUUUGGAAUUUCGUCGCAGCAGUUGCUCCGAAGCUAUCUUUGGUCCAUGGUAAAUCAAAGCUUGGUUCGUGUUCCAGAUGGAAAAGAGUUGCUGCUUAUUCCAUACUUGUUCAGUGAUUGCUGGUUAAUUGUUCUUAUUCUGCAAAAGAAAACAUAUGUACGGCUUUUAACCUUUCAUAUGCAACUUGAUAAACAUUCAAUUGAAAUUGUCUAAGAUGGACUUUCACCAAAUAGAGAAGAAAUUAGUAUUUCUUUAUUA